rnacentral:lncRNA from 1 species
AUUUUAAGAGCAAAUCAGCACACUUGAUGGCAUGCUUUCCCAAACCCUGUGCUGGCACUCAGCCUGCAGAAUAGGAAGGUCUUGAAGCAACCCCCCCACCUCCCACCCAGGAGCUUCUAGUCUAGGAGAUAGGGCAAGCAAGCUCUCAAACCACAGAAGCUUCGAGAGUUCAAAACCCCAUCCAAUAGGAGAGCUGUUCCUAGACAGUAGUGGCUGUAGGUGCUAAGAGAAGAUCAGAUACACUGUACAGGGCAGUGGGGUUGCUCAUCUUCCCUCUCUGGGUCUCCAGAAAAGGACAUUUGGCAAUAUCCCCAACUCGCUCAUGACUGACAUUCUUUGACCCCUCCAAGUGCUUCAGCAGUACUAUUAUUCCCCACAGCACCAGUGGGUCCACGUCGCUUGAAUAUUAUUUUUGAUUUGACCACACAGAUGUGAUGAUGAUUCUGUUUCAUUUGAAAAGGGUCUGAGAAAGUGUACAGGUCUAAUUAUAUAUACAUAUUUAUACAUGUGUAUUUUUGUUUAUUGUUACAUUUUGACAUUGGACUUUCUAUUAAAUAAUUUUUAACAGUU